rnacentral:rRNA from 1 species
UACGAAGGGGGCUAGCGUUGCUCGGAAUCACUGGGCGUAAAGCGCACGUAGGCGGCUUCUUAAGUCAGGGGUGAAAUCCUGGAGCUCAACUCCAGAACUGCCUUUGAUACUGGUAGUCUAGAGUCCGGAAGAGGUGAGUGGAAUUCCGAGUGUAGAGGUGAAAUUCGUAGAUAUUCGGAGGAACACCAGUGGCGAAGGCGGCUCGCUGGUCCGGUACUGACGCUGAGGUGCGAAAGCGUGGGGAGCAAACAGG